rnacentral:rRNA from 1 species
AUUGAACGCUGGCGGCAUGCUUUACACAUGCAAGUCGAACGGCAGCACGGGGGCAACCCUGGUGGCGAGUGGCGAACGGGUGAGUACUGUAUCGGAACGUACCCGGCAAUGGGGGAUAGCUCGGCGAAAGCCGGCUUAAUACCGCAUAUGCCCUGAGGGGGAAAGCAGGGGAUCGAAAGACCUUGCGUUGUCGGCGCGGACGAUAUCAGAUAAGCUAGUUGGGGGGGAAAAGGCCUACCACGGCGACGAGCUGUAGCUGGUCUGAGAGGACGACCAGCCACACUGGGACUGAGACACGGCCCAGACUCCUACGGGAGGCGGCAGUGGGGAAUUUUGGACAAUGGGGGCAACCCUGAUCCAGCCAUGCCGCGUGAGUGAAGAGGGCCUUCGGGUUGUAAAGCUCUUUCGGACGGAAAGAAAUCGCACUUGAUAAUACCUUGUGUGGAUGACGGUACCGUAAGAAGAAGCACCGGCUAACUACGUGCCAGCAGCCGCCGUAA